GUCCACGCCCUAAACGAUGUCAACUAGGUGUUGGGUGGGUAAAACCAUUUAGUACCGGAGCUAACGCGUGAAGUUGACCGCCUGGGGAGUACGGCCGCAAGGUUAAAACUCAAAGGAAUUGACGGGGACCCGCACAAGCGGUGGAUGAUGUGGAUUAAUUCGAUGCAACGCGAAAAACCUUACCUACCCUUGACAUGUUCAGAAUCCCGGAGAGAUUUGGGAGUGCUCGAAAGAGAACUGGAACACAGGUGCUGCAUGGCUGUCGU
rnacentral:rRNA from 1 species